rnacentral:rRNA from 1 species
CCCUUAGAUGUGCUGGGCCGCACGCGUGCUACACUGAGUGGAUCAGCGGGUCAGGUUGCGCGAAAGCGUUUCCUAAUCUUUAAAUCCGCUCGUGAUGGGGAUUGACGGUUGCAAUUUUCUGUCAUGAACGAGGAAUACCUUGUAAGCGCGGGUCAUCAUCCCGCGCUGAAUACGUCCCUGCCCUUUGUACACACCGCCCGUCGCUCCUACCGAUUGAGUGGUCCGGUGAGGCUUUGGGAUCUGAGCGGAAAGAGCGUUUCGCUGUUUCUGCUCGGAAAACUCAGUCGAACCUUAUCAUUUAGAGGAAGGAGAAGUCGUAACA